rnacentral:lncRNA from 1 species
CUUCCUUCUGUUGGCGCUUUGGGAAUAUUCAUUCUUGGCUCGCGCCCCGCACGGUUGACAGUUGGGCUGGGAAAUGUACCCGCGACUUAAUUAGGGCAUCGCCAGACCUGCCAAGCUCCAGCUCCUCCCCUUCGCGACUGCCGCGACCCCCGGGACCCCCAGGACCCCCAGGGCCUGCCCCACGCUGUGGGAGGGCGCCUCGCUGUUCCUACGGCUGUACCAUCAGUGCCCAACCCGUGUGCUCCGGCUCAUAGAAACCUGUCCUGGCCAAGGCAGAGCGACGGCCUGUCCCACAGCUUUCAUCCAUCUGAAAUGGAUUUGGCAGGAUGACACUCCCUUUCUUGUGAAACCCAGUCCUGGCUUGGGAUCCGCAGAUGCUCCGACGCGUCCUACCUUCACCGUCCCUUGGUCCCUCGUUCAGUCACUCUACAAGUAU